GACCAGGUAGUUUAAUUGGUAGAACGUCUGCCUAGAGUUCGGAGGGUCCCGGGUUCGAAUCCCGGUCUGGUCA